rnacentral:rRNA from 1 species
CCUACGGGAGGCUGCAGUGGGGAAUAUUGGACAAUGGGCGAAAGCCUGAUCCAGCCAUGCCGCGUGUGUGAGGAAGGCCUUCGGGUUGUAAAGCACUUUCAGUGGGGAAGAAAGCCUUGGGGCUAAUACCCUCGAGGAAGGACAUCACCCACAGAAGAAGCACCGGCUAACUCCGUGCCAGCAGCCGCGGUAAUACGGAGGGUGCGAGCGUUAAUCGGAAUUACUGGGCGUAAAGCGCGCGUAGGCGGUCUGAUAAGCCGGUUGUGAAAGCCCCGGGCUCAACCUGGGAACGGCAUCCGGAACUGUCAGGCUAGAGUGCAGGAGAGGAAGGUAGAAUUCCCGGUGUAGCGGUGAAAUGCGUAGAGAUCGGGAGGAAUACCAGUGGCGAAGGCGGCCUUCUGGACUGACACUGACGCUGAGGUGCGAAAGCGUGGGUAGCAAACAGGAUUAGAUACCCCGGUAGUC